rnacentral:rRNA from 1 species
CACUAUCGUUACUGAAUACAUAGGUUAACGAGGCGAACCGGGGGAACUGAAACAUCUAAGUACCCCGAGGAAAAGAAAUCAACCGAGAUUCCCCCAGUAGCGGCGAGCGAACGGGGAGCAGCCCAGAGUCUGAAUCAGCUUGUGUGUUAGUGGAACGGUCUGGAAAGUCCGACGGUACAGGGUGAUAGUCCCGUACACCAAAAUGCACAGGUUGUGAACUCGAAGAGUAGGGCGGGACACGUGGUAUCCUGUCUGAAUAUGGGGGGACCAUCCUCCAAGGCUAAAUACUCCUGACUGACCGAUAGUGAACCAGUACCGUGAGGGAAAGGCGAAAAGAACCCCGGCGAGGGGAGUGAAAAAGAACCUGAAACCGUGUACGUACAAGCAGUGGGAGCACCUUCGGGUGUGACUGCGUACCUUUUGUAUAAUGGGUCAGCGACUUAUAUUCUGUAGCAAGGUUAACCGUAUAGGGGAGCCGCAGGGAAACCGAGUCUUAACUGGGCGUUAAGUUGCAGGGUAUAGACCCGAAACCCGGUGAUCUAGCCAUGGGCAGGUUGAAGGUUGGGUAACACUAACUGGAGGACCGAACCGACUAAUGUUGAAAAAUUAGCGGAUGACUUGUGGCUGGGGGUGAAAGGCCAAUCAAACCGGGAGAUAGCUGGUUCUCCCCGAAAGCUAUUUAGGUAGCGCCUCGUGAAUUCAUCUUCGGGGGUAGAGCACUGUUUCGGCUAGGGGGUCAUCCCGACUUACCAACCCGAUGCAAACUACGAAUACCGAAGAAUGUUAUCACGGGAGACACACGGCGGGUGCUAACGUCCGUCGUGAAGAGGGAAACAACCCAGACCGCCAGCUAAGGUCCCAAAGUCAUGGUUAAGUGGGAAACGAUGUGGGAAGGCACAGACAGCCAGGAUGUUGGCUUAGAAGCAGCCAUCAUUUAAAGAAAGCGUAAUAGCUCACUGGUCGAGUCGGCCUGCGCGGAAGAUGUAACGGGGCUAAACCAUGCACCGAAGCUGCGGCAGCGACACUAUGUGUUGUUGGGUAGGGGAGCGUUCUGUAAGCCUGCGAAGGUGUGCUGUGAGGCAUGCUGGAGGUAUCAGAAGUGCGAAUGCUGACAUAAGUAACGAUAAAGCGGGUGAAAAGCCCGCUCGCCGGAAGACCAAGGGUUCCUGUCCAACGUUAAUCGGGGCAGGGUGAGUCGACCCCUAAGGCGAGGCCGAAAGGCGUAGUCGAUGGGAAACAGGUUAAUAUUCCUGUACUUGGUGUUACUGCGAAGGGGGGACGGAGAAGGCUAUGUUAGCCGGGCGACGGUUGUCCCGGUUUAAGCAUGUAGGCUGGUUGUCCAGGCAAAUCCGGAUAAUCAAGGCUGAGGUGUGAUGACGAGGCACUACGGUGCUGAAGUAACAAAUGCCCUGCUUCCAGGAAAAGCCUCUAAGCAUCAGGUAACAUUAAAUCGUACCCCAAACCGACACAGGUGGUCAGGUAGAGAAUACCAAGGCGCUUGAGAGAACUCGGGUGAAGGAACUAGGCAAAAUGGUGCCGUAACUUCGGGAGAAGGCACGCUGGUGUGUAGGUGAAGUCCCUGCGGAUGGAGCUGAGACCAGUCGAAGAUACCAGCUGGCUGCAACUGUUUAUUAAAAACACAGCACUGUGCAAACACGAAAGUGGACGUAUACGGUGUGACGCCUGCCCGGUGCCGGAAGGUUAAUUGAUGGGGUUAUCCGUAAGGAGAAGCUCUUGAUCGAAGCCCCGGUAAACGGCGGCCGUAACUAUAACGGUCCUAAGGUAGCGAAAUUCCUUGUCGGGUAAGUUCCGACCUGCACGAAUGGCGUAAUGAUGGCCAGGCUGUCUCCACCCGAGACUCAGUGAAAUUGAACUCGCUGUGAAGAUGCAGUGUACCCGCGGCAAGACGGAAAGACCCCGUGAACCUUUACUAUAGCUUGACACUGAACAUUGAGCCUUGAUGUGUAGGAUAGGUGGGAGGCUUUGAAGCGUGGACGCCAGUCUGCGUGGAGCCAACCUUGAAAUACCACCCUUUAAUGUUUGAUGUUCUAACGUUGGCCCCUGGACCGGGGUUGCGGACAGUGUCUGGUGGGUAGUUUGACUGGGGCGGUCUCCUCCCAAAGCGUAACGGAGGAGCACGAAGGUUAGCUAAUCCUGGUCGGACAUCAGGAGGUUAGUGCAAUGGCAUAAGCUAGCUUGACUGCGAGCGUGACGGCGCGAGCAGGUGCGAAAGCAGGUCAUAGUGAUCCGGUGGUUCUGAAUGGAAGGGCCAUCGCUCAACGGAUAAAAGGUACUCCGGGGAUAACAGGCUGAUACCGCCCAAGAGUUCAUAUCGACGGCGGUGUUUGGCACCUCGAUGUCGGCUCAUCACAUCCUGGGGCUGAAGUAGGUCCCAAGGGUAUGGCUGUUCGCCAUUUAAAGUGGUACGCGAGCUGGGUUUAGAACGUCGUGAGACAGUUCGGUCCCUAUCUGCCGUGGGCGCUGGAGAAUUGAGGGGGGCUGCUCCUAGUACGAGAGGACCGGAGUGGACGCAUCACUGGUGUUCGGGUUGUCAUGCCAAUGGCACUGCCCGGUAGCUAAAUGCGGAAGAGAUAAGUGCUGAAAGCAUCUAAGCACGAAACUUGCCCCGAGAUGAGUUCUCCCUGAGACUUUAAGUCUCCUGAAGGAACGUUGAAGACGACGACGUUGAUAGGCCGGGUGUGUAAGCGCAGCGAUGCGUUGAGCUAACCGGUACUAAUGAACCGUGAGGCUUAACCUUACAACGCCGAAG